rnacentral:rRNA from 1 species
UACGUAGGGUGCAAGCGUUGUCCGGAAUUAUUGGGCGUAAAGAGCUCGUAGGCGGUUUGUCGCGUCUGCUGUGAAAACCCGAGGCUCAACCUCGGGCCUGCAGUGGGUACGGGCAGACUAGAGUGCGGUAGGGGAGAUUGGAAUUCCUGGUGUAGCGGUGAAAUGCGCAGAUAUCAGGAGGAACACCUGUGGCGAAGGCGGGUCUCUGGGCCGUAACUGACGCUGAGGAGCGAAAGCAUGGGGAGCGAACAGG